rnacentral:tRNA from 1 species
GGGCCCAUAGCUCAGUUGGUUAGAGCAGCUGACUCAUAAUCAGCGGGUCGUAGGUUCAAGUCCUACUGGGCCCACCU